CACGUAGGCACCAAGCGUUAUCCGGAUUUAUUGGGCGUAAAGAGCUCGUAGGCGGUUCGGUAAGUCGGGUGUGAAAACUCUGGGCUCAACCCAGAGAGGCCACCCGAUACUGCUGUGACUAGAGUGCGGUAGGGGAGCGGGGAAUUCCUGGUGUAGCGGUGAAAUGCGCAGAUAUCAGGAGGAACACCGAUGGCGAAGGCAGCUCGCUGGGACGGUACUGACGCUGAGAAGCGAAAGCAUGGGGAGCGAACAGG
rnacentral:rRNA from 1 species